rnacentral:rRNA from 1 species
AGACCCGAAACCCGGUGAUCUAGCCAUGGGCAGGUUGAAGGUUGGGUAACACUAACUGGAGGACCGAACCGACUAAUGUUGAAAAAUUAGCGGAUGACCUGUGGCUGGGGGUGAAAGGCCAAUCAAACCGGGAGAUAGCUGGUUCUCCCCGAAAGCUAUUUAGGUAGCGCCUCGUGAAUUCAUCUCCGGGGGUAGAGCACUGUUUCGGCUAGGGGGCCAUCCCGGCUUACCAACCCGAUGCAAACUGCGAAUACCGGAGAAUGUUAUCACGGGAGACACACGGCGGGUGCUAACGUCCGUCGUGAAGAGGGAAACAACCCAGACCGCCAGCUAAGGUCCCAAAGUCAUGGUUAAGUGGGAAACGAUGUGGGAAGGCCCAGACAGCCAGGAUGUUGGCUUAGAAGCAGCCAUCAUUUAAAGAAAGCGUAAUAGCUCACUGGUCGAGUCGGCCUGCGCGGAAGAUGUAACGGGGCUAAACCAUGCACCGAAGCUGCGGCAGCGACGCUUAUGCGUUGUUGGGUAGGGGAGCGUUCUGUAAGCCUGUGAAGGUGUGUCGUGAGGCAUGCUGGAGGUAUCAGAAGUGCGAAUGCUGACAUAAGUAACGAUAAAGCGGGUGAAAAGCCCGCUCGCCGGAAGACCAAGGGUUCCUGUCCAACGUUAAUCGGGGCAGGGUGAGUCGACCCCUAAGGCGAGGCCGAAAGGCGUAGUCGAUGGGAAACAGGUUAAUAUUCCUGUACUUGGUGUUACUGCGAAGGGGGGACGGAGAAGGCUAUGUUGGCCGGGCGACGGUUGUCCCGGUUUAAGCGUGUAGGUGUGUGUUCCAGGUAAAUCCGGUUCACUUUAACACUGAGGCGUGAUGACGAGGCACUACGGUGCUGAAGCAACAAAUGCCCUGCUUCCAGGAAAAGCCUCUAAGCAUCAGGUAACAUCAAAUCGUACCCCAAACCGACACAGGUGGUCAGGUAGAGAAUACCAAGGCGCUUGAGAGAACUCGGGUGAAGGAACUAGGCAAAAUGGUGCCGUAACUUCGGGAGAAGGCACGCUGACACGUAGGUGAAGUGAUUUACUCAUGGAGCUGAAGUCAGUCGAAGAUACCAGCUGGCUGCAACUGUUUAUUAAAAACACAGCACUGUGCAAACACGAAAGUGGACGUAUACGGUGUGACGCCUGCCCGGUGCCGGAAGGUUAAUUGAUGGGGUCAGCGCAAGCGAAGCUCCUGAUCGAAGCCCCGGUAAACGGCGGCCGUAACUAUAACGGUCCUAAGGUAGCGAAAUUCCUUGUCGGGUAAGUUCCGACCUGCACGAAUGGCGUAAUGAUGGCCAGGCUGUCUCCACCCGAGACUCAGUGAAAUUGAACUCGCUGUGAAGAUGCAGUGUACCCGCGGCAAGACGGAAAGACCCCGUGAACCUUUACUAUAGCUUGACACUGAACAUUGAGCCUUGAUGUGUAGGAUAGGUGGGAGGCUUUGAAGUGUGGACGCCAGUCUGCAUGGAGCCGACCUUGAAAUACCACCCUUUAAUGUUUGAUGUUCUAACGUGGACCCGUAAUCCGGGUUGCGGACAGUGUCUGGUGGGUAGUUUGACUGGGGCGGUCUCCUCCUAAAGAGUAACGGAGGAGCACGAAGGUUGGCUAAUCCUGGUCGGACAUCAGGAGGUUAGUGCAAUGGCAUAAGCCAGCUUGACUGCGAGCGUGACGGCGCGAGCAGGUGCGAAAGCAGGUCAUAGUGAUCCGGUGGUUCUGAAUGGAAGGGCCAUCGCUCAACGGAUAAAAGGUACUCCGGGGAUAACAGGCUGAUACCGCCCAAGAGUUCAUAUCGACGGCGGUGUUUGGCACCUCGAUGUCGGCUCAUCACAUCCUGGGGCUGAAGUAGGUCCCAAGGGUAUGGCUGUUCGCCAUUUAAAGUGGUACGCGAGCUGGGUUUAGAACGUCGUGAGACAGUUCGGUCCCUAUCUGCCGUGGGCGCUGGAGAACUGAGGGGGGCUGCUCCUAGUACGAGAGGACCGGAGUGGACGCAUCACUGGUGUUCGGGUUGUCAUGCCAAUGGCACUGCCCGGUAGCUAAAUGCGGAAGAGAUAAGUGCUGAAAGCAUCUAAGCACGAAACUUGCCCCGA